UCGGGAAUUUUGGGCAAUGGGCGAAAGCCUGACCCAGCAACGCCGCGUGAAGGAUGACUGCCCUAUGGGUUGUAAACUUCUUUUAUACGGGAAAAAACCUCUGAUCGUGUAUCGGAGCUGAUGGUACCGUAAGAAUAAGGAUCGGCUAACUCCGUGCCAGCAGCCGCGGUAAUACGGAGGAUCCAAGCGUUAUCCGGAUUUAUUGGGUUUAAAGGUGCGCAGGCGGAAUGGUAAGUCAGUGGUGAAAUCCUACGGCUUAGCUGUAGAAUUGCCAUUGAUACUGCCAAUCUUGAGUACAUUUGAAGUGGGCGGAAUGUGUCAUGUAGCGGUGAAAUGCUUAGAUAUGACACAGAACACCGAUUGCGAAGGCAGCUCACUAAACUGUUACUGACGCUAAGGCACGAAAGCGUGGGGAUCGAACAGGAUUAGAUACCCCAGUAGUCCCUGAGCGGGCUGGCAAGGCGCAU
rnacentral:rRNA from 1 species